UGUCCAGAGAUGGAAAUCAAACCCACAGUGUUCCGCUUACCGGGCAGAUGCCAUGUCCCUUAGGCUACCCAGGAC
rnacentral:tRNA from 1 species